AGGACGAACGCUGGCGGCGCGCUUAACACAUGCAAGUCGAGCGAGAACCGGUCCUUCGGGACCGGGGAAAGCGGCGAACGGGUGAGUAACACGUGGGUAAUCAACCCUCAGUACCGGGAUAGCCCGAGGAAACUCGGAUUAAUACCGGAUGGCCCAACAGCUCUUCGGGGCGGUUGGAAAAGGUAGCUUCGGCCUCCGACUGGGGACGAGCCCGCGGCGGAUUAGCUUGUUGGCGGGGUAAUGGCCCACCAAGGCGACGAUCCGUAGCUGGUCUGAGAGGACGAUCAGCCACACUGGGACUGAGACACGGCCCAGACUCCUACGGGAGGCAGCAGUGGGGAAUCUUGCACAAUGGGCGAAAGCCUGAUGCAGCGACGCCGCGUGAGGGAAGAAGGCUUUCGGGUGUAAACCUCUUUCAGGAGGGACGAAGCUACUCGGGUUAAUAGCCCAGGAGGGUGACGGUACCUCCAGAAGAAGCCCCGGCUAACUACGUGCCAGCAGCCGC
rnacentral:rRNA from 1 species